AGAGGGCUCCCCGCCUGGCCGCGGCUGACUCUGUCCUCCCUGGGGUGACUCUUAGCACUGUUUUACCCCUGUCUCCGUGCCUUCUGUGUCUCCUGGCGGCCUGUGCAUCUCCCAUACGUCCCACGCAGACCGGCACACACCAGGGUGCGGCGUGGCAGACGGUGUGCGGCGCGGCGGCGGCAGCGAUGCGCACCAACCUCAAGACGCGCGUUGUGGGGCAGCGGGUGGAGCUGGUGCCCUACCGCAGCGUGCACGUGGAGCGCUACCACCAGUGGAUGUCCAGCGAGGAGCUGCGGACGCUGACGGCCUCGCACCGCCUCACCCUGGAGGAGGAGCACCGCAUGCAGGCCUCCUGGAUGUCUGACGAGGACAAGUGCACCUUCAUCAUCCUGGACCGCGCCCUGCUGGCCACGCGCGGCUCCGAGACGGAGGCCAUGAUCGGCGACACCAACCUCUUCCUGACGGACCCCGAGGACCGCAGCGUGGCGGAGGCGGAGAUCAUGAUCGCCGAGCCGGCCCUGCGCGGCACGCGGCGGGGAUGGGAGGCCAUGCUGCUCAUGCUGCGGUACGGCGCCGAGUACCUGGGCGUCACCAGGUACCAGGCCAAGAUCGGGGAGGGCAACACGCCCAGCAUCAACAUGUUCACCAAGAUGCACUUCAGCGAGGUGGGGCGCUCCGAGGCCUUCCAGGAGGUGACGCUGGAGGUGGUGGUGGACGAGGGCUGGCGGGGCUGGCUGCGGCAGAACACCCCGGCCUUCCAGUGCCUCCCCUACACCCCCGAGGACGAGUAGUGGUGCCCGGGGUGCCGGCGUAGUGGUGUGCUUGUUGGGGUGGUGUGCUUGUGUGGGUGUGUGCUCUGUCUCUCUCUCUCUCUCUCUAUCUCUAUCUCUCUGUCUAAGUGUCUCCCAUCUUUAUUCCUUCAUUUUGCUUGGUUCUGCUUUUGUUAGUGUGGUUUUUCCAUGCCUUGUGUGUGUGUUGGUGUGUCCCCUCUCUCUCUCUCUCUCUCUCUCUCUCUCUCUCUCUCUCUCUCUCUCUCUCUCUCUCUCUCUCUCUCUGUCUCUGUCUCUGUCUCUGUGUGUGUGUACGUCUGUGCCUCUGUUCUGUACUGUUGUCACUUGAUAUAAGGUUUCAUAAUGUGAUCUCUUCUCCUUGUGUGCCUUCUCUCUCUCUCACCUCUCUCUUCUGCUCUGUCUUGUCACCAUUUCACUCUCAUUGAUGUAUGGAUGAACACACACACACACACACACACACACACACACACACACACACACACACACACACACACACACAAAAUUGCUAAGAUUAAGAGAGAGAGAGAGAGAGAGAGAGAGAGAGAGAGAGAGAGAGAGAGAGAGAGAGAGAGAGAGAGAGCGCUCUAAUACCUGCCCUGUUUUAAGGGUACCACUAUUAAGGGCUGUGUUUGGUGCUUGGCAGGGGAGGGGAGGUGGGGGGAGAGGAGCCCCUUACUACUAGGAGGGGAAGGGUAGGCCCGGGGGAGGUAGGGGCUGUGAUAUAGAAAAUGGGGAUACUGAUAAAUCUUUGUUAUUUAUUUAGAAUGAGGUUAUUGUAGAUUGAUUUAGUUAUUUAUUGUUUAUUUUGAGUGGUUGCAGUGUGUGUGUGUGUUUGUGUUUGUUUAGGUGAGGUUUGGGAAAAGUUAUUGGUUUAUUUAUUUAUUUUUUAUCUAUUUAUUUAUUUUUUUUUUUAAGGAAGGUUUAGAGGAGAGAAAACUAAGGUAAUUUGUACAUUGUUAGCGUGUGGCCUGAGCAUCAGCAGUGAUUCUCUAUGUGUGUGUGUGGUGCUGUGUACAGUGGUGUGCUGUGAGUGGUGUCAGUGUGUGGAGGGGCUGGGGGGGAGUGCUGGCUUGUGCUGCCUCCACACUUAACACUGAUUGUCAAGAGAUACUGAACUAAAUAUUCCUUUCUUUUUUUGUUUUUCAUUUUAGUCUGCUUCUAUCACUCAACAAUUAUUAUUAUUAUUUAUUUAUUUAUUUUAUUUUAUUUUAUCUUAUUUUAUUUAUUUUUUUUCUUAGUUUUUUUUUUUUUUUUUUAAGUGCUUAAUUGUGCAUUCGUAAGUCAAGAUAAAAGAGUUAUCUAUAUAAUUAUUCAUGUAUUUGUUUUGAUUUUCUAUUUGUUAUUUUGUUGUUUCAAAAUUUCAUGACUUGAAUGGAGAUGGAAGAUGCUGUUGUUUACUUUCCUCUCUAAUUACGAAUUUUUUAAAUCAAGAAGGGAGAACAACACUUAUUUUUCAUUUCAAUUUACUCUUUCAUUAUAUUCAUUUAUUUAUUUAUUUAUUUAUUUUAUUUUUUUAUUUUAUUUAUUGUUUUAUUUCUUUUAUUUUUUAUUUUAUUUAUUUUUUUAUUUAUUUUAUUUUUUUAUUUUUUUGCAUCUAUUUUGUUUUUGGUGACUAGAAAUGUUGGUAAAUGAAAGCGCCACAAACCAGCACUGUCCAUCACCACGCCUCACUCCAGGUAUCAAUAAGGCAGACGGAUUUAUUUUUGUAAAGGCCGUAGAGUUAACGCAGCGCCGGGAGGACGUGCCAGUGGGGAGCGUUCAAAUGAGUGUCUGAUUCGUUGCUCUUAAUGGAAGCUGCAUCAGGUUACUCGAGUUACCCAAUCAGGAGGUGACAUUCCCAUAACAAAGGCAGCAAGCCCUCCCAUUGGUCGUCGAACGCGUGCCCUGCUGGGAUUGGCUGCCGGAGGGUAUAUAAAGGGGGGACUCCAGGCGGGAGGGUCUCAGUGCCACGGGAGGUCUGGAAGAGAGAGGAUUGUCAGUCAUCCAGCCAGCUUCCGGAACUUAAGGUGACAGCGGCGGCCAUGACAGACACCCGAGCGUGGGCGUGGGUCGUGGGCGUGUUAGUGGUGGUGGUGGUGACGGGGGCGGCUUUCCCUCCCGCUCCCAUGAACGAGGUGGGAGCACUGGGGGAGGGGGGAAUCGCCCCCCUUCUCUUCCCCCACCCCCAGUACCCUCUCCCCAGGAAAAGAUACUUGGGCAUCGAACUCCCAGACUUCAUAGCAGCAGGCAAGGGCUUGGGAGACCUGAAGGAACGCAUGAUGACGUCAGGCAAGUAGCGGAAGUGACGUCAUGCAGCGCCAGCCAAUGCCAGCACUUCUCAGCCUGUGACGUCACUCCCAGCCAGGCAAUAACAUCACGGCAUAGACCAGUGACGUCAUAUCCACCUGGUGACGUCAUUGCCUUCCAGAUCGUCCUUUUAAGUUUUGUUUCAUGGAAUUAUUCGUCUGUUUAUUGGUAUGUGUUGUGAGUUAUCGUCUUUUUAAGGUUUUAUUCUACUUUUCAUAUGUAUCUCAGUAUUUGUAGUGGGUUAAUAUACUUAUUCCUUCACCUAUGUUAGUAUGUGCGGUGCUCUCACUCUCUAUUAGUAAGGUUUGAUUUUAUCUGAAUUUAUACAAUGUGGCCAAAAUACAAAUGAUUCAGUACACGCAGCCUUACUGAUUUUACUGCUGUGUGUGUGUGUGUGUGUGUGUGUGUGUGUGUGUGUGUGUGUGUGUGUGAGAGAGAGAGAGGGGUUGAGUAAAAAAGAAAAUGGAUAAAGAAAACUAGAUGCCUCACACAUCAGUGGGUUGUUAGGGUGAAAAGACGCCCUGAUCACCUUGACUUUCCCACGUCGUGCAAGCUCUUCAUGAACCAUCACACCACACCACUCAUGUUGUCAAUAAACUUUGCAGCAGAAGUGUAGAUAACCUUAGUCGUAAUAUCUACUGAAAAUCAAGAUGGAUUGUUCAACACUUUUUACUUUGUUCCUUAAACAUUACAUUGAUAGAAUAUAAGGUAACACUGAAUAGCAAAGAGGUGUGGUCUGAGCUAAAACUGAUGACUGUCCUGUGCCACGUGUCUGAACACUGCCCCUGAUGUGUACCACGAGUUUUCCUCUUAUAAAAAUAUAUAGAUAUGCUUCUUGCUCCAACGUGGGGUGGUCAAGACGAUGGGCCCCUUCACGCGGGCGGUUUGGUCGGGGAGGCGGCUUUGCCAGUGGGCCUCCACACGACAAUUCGAUGCACACGACAAAGGCCGCGAGUCACCAGUCCCUGCAACCAAUCGCAACAGUUUGGAACCUUUUCACACCAGCGACAUUGUGCCGCUGAAGCACACCGCUGCGAGGGAAGAGAAGGAAAGAGGAUGAAAAGUAAGAGAAGGGAGUGGUGGGCUGUGAAACACCUAAUGAAGCAAAGUGAGAAAGAAUGGCAGAGGAGAGAGGUUCAAGAUCUGGUUGAAGGCGGCUCAGUGGUGUACAACGCUGCUCCACCAUCACCCACGCAGGUGUUGUGGGACGCAGCCGCAGUCCUUGAUGCAGCAGAGCCAGGCUGAGUGAGCCGCACCACUGCCUCUCACCACCAACCCUCUUCUCACACGGCUCACUCACUCACAACCCACCCAGUCACACAUUUUGACCACGUUUUGACUGCACUGCCGAGUCACACGACCUAACCAGCCGUGUGGAAGGGCCAACGGCACAGCACAGUGGCUCUAUACAGCAACAGACAGCCUUUAAAAUCCCCCUUUAUUAUCUGGCCUUGCUGUGUUGCUAACCUAACCACAGCAUCACUCCAUUACCUGUGUCAGCUGUGGCUACAGCAAUCACAGCAUUGGAGAGACACACUUUUCCAACAGGAAUACAUCAAACAAUUAUAUAAGUUGUAUUUUUUUUUAUUUGUUUUGGGUUUUGCUCCUCCUCACCAGAGUCUUGAAGUCUUUGGUGUAUGACCUGCACAGCGCUGCGGAGUCUGUGGCUGCAAUUCACAUGACAGUAGCUUUUUGAGAGGGUUGUGACGUGUGUGUGUGUGUGUGUGUGUGUGUGUGUGUGUGUGUGUGUGUGUGUGUGUGUGU